rnacentral:lncRNA from 1 species
CGACGUUUCAGUACAUUUUGCUUUUUCAGUAAACACUUCAUCUGUUGAUAAAUACUGUAAACGUUUUGUGUAUAUCUAAAUAUAUUUACCUAUGUUGAAAGACGUGCAUACUAUCGGAUCAUAAAAAUACAACUUGUUUAGUCUCUAGGAAAUCUUGUAAGAUUUCCACUGCUAUUUUUGCUAAAUAGGUGCAAUUUGGGUACC